CUUCUUUCAGACCACAUUUUGCAAUUUUAUUCCGGAACUAACAGCAUCCAUCCAUCCACUUUGCGUACCACUUUCCAUCACUAGGGGAAUCAAACCAUAACUGCUCACUUUCCUGAGAUGGAGGGAUCCUACUUCCAGGAUAAUGAGGCUGCAAUGGAUGCAGACAUCCAAGGCUGAUAAAAUGGUACAAACUCGGCACCGUGAUGGCAG